rnacentral:rRNA from 1 species
CCUGCCCACUGAAAUAUUUUAAAUGGCCGCAGUAAUUUGACUGUGCAAAGGUAGCAUAAUCAUUAGUUUUUUAAUUAAAAGCUUGUAUGAAGGGUUGGACGAGAUAAAAUCUGUCUUUAUUUAAAUAAUGUUAGAAUUUAAUUUUUAAGUUAAAAAGCUUAAAUUUAUGUAAAAGACGAGAAGACCCUAUAGAUCUUUAUAUUAUUAUAAUUUAAUUUUAAUUAAGAAUAUUUAAUUUUUUAUUUUAUAUAAUAUUUUAUUGGGGUAAUAAAAAGAUUUAAUUAAUUCUUUUUGAUAUUUUACAUUGAUUAAUGAAUUUAUGAUCCAUAUAUUAUGAUUAUAAGAUUAAGUUACCUUAGGGAUAACAGCGUAAUUUUUUUAGAGAGUUCAUAUCGAUAAAAAAGUUUGCGACCUCGAUGUUGGAUUAAAAAUUGUUUUAGGCGCAGAAGUUUAAAAAUUUGGUCUGUUCGACCAUUAAAUUUUUACAUGAUCUGAGUUCAGACCGGUGUAAGCCAGGUCGGUUUCUAUCUUUAUAUAUUUUAUAAUAUUUUAGUACGAAAGGACCAAAUAUUUAAUAUAUUAAUAUUUAUAUUUUUGAAUAUUAUU